UGGCCUUGUGGUUAGAGUGUCCGCCUCCGGAGCGGGAGGACGUGGGUUCAAAUCCCGU
rfam:Lingula anatina scaffold306, whole genome shotgun sequence.